rnacentral:rRNA from 1 species
GAUGAACGCUGGCGGCGUGCCUAAUACAUGCAAGUCGAGCGAACAUACGAGGAGCUUGCUCCUCUGACGUUAGCGGCGGACGGGUGAGUAACACGUGGAUAACCUACCUAUAAGACUGGGAUAACUUCGGGAAACCGGAGCUAAUACCGGAUAAUAUAUUGAACCGCAUGGUUCAAUAGUGAAAGACGGUUUUGCUGUCACUUAUAGAUGGAUCCGCGCCGCAUUAGCUAGUUGGUAAGGUAACGGCUUACCAAGGCAACGAUGCGUAGCCGACCUGAGAGGGUGAUCGGCCACAAUGGAACUGAGACACGGUCCAGAAUCCUACGGGAGGCAGCAGUAGGGAAUCUUCCGCAAUGGGCGAAAGCCUGACGGAGCAACGCCGCGUGAGUGAUGAAGGUCUUCGGAUCGUAAAACUCUGUUAUUAGGGAAGAACAAAUGUGUAAGUAACUAUGCACGUCUUGACGGUACCUAAUCAGAAAGCCACGGCUAACUACGUG